rnacentral:rRNA from 1 species
AGUGAACGCUGGCGGUAGGCCUAACACAUGCAAGUCGAACGGCAGCACAGUAAGAGCUUGCUCUUACGGGUGGCGAGUGGCGGACGGGUGAGGAAUACAUCGGAAUCUACUUUUUCGUGGGGGAUAACGUAGGGAAACUUACGCUAAUACCGCAUACGACCUACGGGUGAAAGCAGGGGAUCUUCGGACCUUGCGCGAUUGAAUGAGCCGAUGUCGGAUUAGCUAGUUGGCGGGGUAAAGGCCCACCAAGGCGACGAUCCGUAGCUGGUCUGAGAGGAUGAUCAGCCACACUGGAACUGAGACACGGUCCAGACGCCUACGGGAGGCAGCAGUGGGGAAUAUUGGACAAUGGGCGCAGGCCUGAUCCAGCCAUACCGCGUGGGUGAAGAAGGCCUUCGGGUUGUAAAGCCCUUUUGUUGGGAAAGAAAAGCAGCAGGUUAAUACCCCGCUGUUCUGACGGUACCCAAAGAAUAAGCACCGGCUAACUUCGUG